UUGGCGGGGGCGCCAUCUUGCAAAAGCAGGCUCAGUAGUCCAGUUCUCGCGGCGUUCGCGCGGUUUUCCAUUACCUCAGGCGGAGCCGCCUCAACCUGCGCUUACAGGCCCUGUCAACAAAUUUCAUUAUUUUAAAGGACCAGAAAUUGUGAUCCGUGUGCAGUGGAUGGACUACUUUCUAUUUUCAGUUUACUUGUGAGAAGACUGCUGUGCCGGGAGCAAGUUUCAUUUUAGUAAGGGAGAAGCAAAGAAGAAGUGAGAAAAGCAAAGAUGAAGACUGAGAAAACUUUUGGAGCUCCAGGGACCAGUGAAAAAGUUGUGCAUCCAAUUGCAUGAGCUUAUUAAAUUAGGCCAGAGGUAAAAUUAUGUGUUUUGAGUUCGUUGUUGUCUAAAACAAAGUUUUCUGAUUGUACACUGAAUAUUUUGGGGGGGGAGGAGGCUGUUAAAAUAAUGUAUGCUAUCUUUUUUUUUUUCUUUUACUAAUUGGCAGUUAGGUUAUUCAGAGAGAAUGAUGAAUGAAAUGACAGGUAUAUAGAUACCACUCAUAUUUAGUGUUUUCUCUAGCUUCCUUCUCCAUACUCUCCAUUUUCUUUAGUUAUGAUUUCAGUUUUAUAUAUAAUUUUUUUUUAAGUCUUGAUUUGUGGUGUAAAUGUCAACCUCAUACUAACAAAGACUACUUUUUCUCAGUUUUAUUUUGAGAUGUCUGUAGCCUGGAUUUUUUAUCUAUCAAGGAAGAAGAUGAAAUUUUAAGAGAAGAGUUCAUUUUUGGAUGUGUGAGUUAGUUAAAUGGCUAGUGAUAGAAGCCAGGCUGUUUCAGAUAAUCAUGGAUUCCGAAACUAUCUUUGAUACUUUUAUGGACAUGAUUAUUAUCUCCCCAAGAACUGAAUAUUUAACUGCCAACAUAAUUCUGAUCUCAUAUCAGGCGAUCAAGUACAGCUAAAAUCUACUGCUUAUUUUUUUGAUGUGUUGUGGAGUUUGGACUCUUAUUGGAGUUGGUAUUCAGGCAUUUAAUAGAUAUUUAUAGCUAGGUACGUAAAUAUUAUAUGCCAGGUACUGUGCCGGGUAUCUGGUAUGGAUCAGAAAAAUUCUCAUAUCCUCGCAGCCUGUGUUCUGGUGAGGGAGCCAGAUAAUAGACAAGUGUAUGAAUGUGUACUAUAUAAUGGGAGGUAGUGAUAAGAGCUGGCAAGAACAACCAAACAAGAUCAGUUAUUAGAGAGGAGGCAGAGUCUGUCUGAGGAGAUGACCUUUGAGUGAAGCUGAAUGAACUAGGAGGGAAUCAUUUGAGUAUUUGAGAGAGGAGUGUUCCAAAUGAGAACAGCAAAUGCUAAGUCUCUGAGUAAGGGUGAGUCAAGGAUGAGAACCGACUAGGAGGCCAUCUACAGGCAGUGAGGGGAACAGGGACCGAAAUUGGAUUCUAGAAGUAGCUGGAGGCCAGAUCCCAUCCUCAAAGAAAAGAAUCUGAUUAGAAAAAUAAAAAUAAGAGACAUUUAUGAACUAUAGCACAGUGUAUCAUCCAGGAAAAAAUUAGGUGUCAUA